AAAGCGGCCUGAGGGAGCUUGUUUGCCCCUUCCACCACGUGAGGACACCAUGAAAAGGCACCCAUCUAUGAGGAAUGGGCCCUCACCAGACUGAAUCAGCCAGCACCUUAAGCUUGGAAUUCCCAGCCUCCAGAACUAACGGAGUGUCUUCACGAAGUAGAGCAUCUGCUACCCGCCUGGAGUGGUUCCAGCUCAGAGCAAGACAGAGAAAGCCCCAUUCCCACAGAGUGGACCUUCACAGGGAGAUGGACAUUAACAGACCAACUGCAUCUAGAGUCAGAGGGUGAAAUGCACUAAGAGGAGCACACACAGCAGGGUUUGACUGUUAGAAAAUCCUUCCUUCAGGCCACAUGGAGGGCAUUUACUUCCUCCUUCACAUGGCAGCCCUUUUGUGGCGACAACAGACCCAAAUGCAGUUCAACUUUUAUGGAACAAAGUCGUGAGUUGUUUUCCAGUUUCCAUGCACCCUCAGAUCAUGUAACCUGAACAUGCCCAGGUAAACCAAAUGUGCAACCACAGGGGGAACCUAAGUACUCAGACAGAGGAGUGGGGACUGAAUUAAGAAGCGGACACUACACAGCAGAUCCAGGAUCCAAUCAGAUCAAGUUCUGUUGUUACUGCACGGCAGGAUCCAGUCAGAUCAUGCCUCUUGGCAUCACCUCAUUGCAAGAUCUAAUCAGGUCGUGCCUCAUUAUCCUAUGCUUAUAAAACCUGACCCAGUUCCCAGUUCAGGGAGGCAUUACUUGGGGACCUAUGUGUUCUCCCUGGUGUUCUCCUUACUUGUUGCAAGUAAUAAAAUCCCC
rnacentral:lncRNA from 1 species